CCCUUAGAUGUUCUGGGCCGCACGCGCGCUACACUGACGAAUGCAACGAGCUUAUAACCUUGGCCGAAAGGUCUGGGUAAUCUCCAAAUUUCGUCGUGAUGGGGAUAGAUUAUUGCAAUUAUUAAUCUUCAACGAGGAAUGCCUAGUAAGGGCAAGUCAUCAGCUUGCGUUGAUUACGUCCCUGCCCUUUGUACACACCGCCCGUCGCUCCUACCGAUUGAAUGGUCCGGUGAAGCGUUCGGACCGUGGCCUUUGGACGGUUCGCCGUCUGUUGGCUGCGGGAAGUUCGUUAAACCUUAUCAUUUAGAGGAAGGAGAAGUCGUAACA
rnacentral:rRNA from 1 species